rnacentral:lncRNA from 1 species
CUGCCCUUGUGACCUCAAACAGGGAGUGCUCUGAUAGAAAAAAAUGAACAGUGCAUUCACUUCUCACCUCUGACAGCUGGCCUGAGAUUGAUAUCUGCCAUUUCUGCCUUCACUAGGGUAUCAGGUAAUGAGAGCUGGUAAAGGAUUUGGUGAUGUCAGAAUAAAAGCCUUUCAUAAUACUAAGAACUGUCAGAAUGCUUAAAAAUAUGACCAUGGGACGUCGUCACCAGCAAGAACUUUUUUGUGAGAUGUGAUGAGCAAGUGGAUAUCAACUCAUAUCAACACCAUGAAACACUGCACUGUUGGUCACGAAAGAGGAGAUACAUCACACCAGAGACGGAUGAAGCUAUUUGUGCCAUUUACAAUGCCAAGGAAACAGACAGGGUGCCUAUGGCCAUUAUUUCAAAGCUAUAAAACUUGUGUCUUUGCCCGCAGUGGAAUAUACUCUAAAUUGGUCACAGUCAAAAAGGAUUCAAAAAACCAUGAGAAAAAUAGAAGAAAGAAAACCUUCCCAGAUCAUUGUUGGACACACAUACAUGUACACAACUGAGUGAUAACAGAGAAGGAACUCAAGGAUCCCGAUGAUGUCAUUUGGAUCAUAUAAAACCAGAACCAUCCUGUGCCAAAGACCUUCCUGCUCGCUACUUUUACACUGAGUGAUGGAUAGGGCCUAUGAACUUCCACUUGCUCCAGUGGCUUCUCUAAGAUAGCCUGCAUUUGAGAAGGGAAAGAAGAUCCAGACAUAGACCUUACUAGCCACCCUGCUGGUGAUGAAUGUCUCCAGGCUGCAGGUGAAAACGGUGUCUGAGGCAGCUCAUGGAGGAAGCAUCUGUGAAGGCCCCACGGAGACAAAACGUUUGAGUGGGACCUUAAAAUAAAAGUAGAAUUUGGACCAUCGGACCUGAAGGAGAGUUGCAAGAACGUGUCUCCUCUUGGUGCUGUCAGUGCGCUGCACAGGGAUCAUGGGCUUGGGCAGCCGUGUGGGAUGAAAGCCUUCAGCCAGAGAUCCUCCUAUGGCACCCUUUCCAAUCAUGUUCUCAUUCCCUGGGCUCCAGUUUUAAGACAUAGAAGGCAGUUCGGUGCCGCUGCAGCUUAAGGAAGAUGGGGCCUGGACGAGACUGGAAAGGACCUCAGCUAAAGAAUUUGAACUCUAUUUUGCAAGCAUGAAGUGCAUGUAAAAUCUUGGGCAGGAAGGCAGAAACUGAGCCUUUUCAUUCUCUCUGAAAUCCUUUCCGCAUCCCUGGUUCAGAGAUAGAAGGCCACUGAAGUAACGUGCCAAGCUCUGUGCCAGGAACUGGGCAUACAAAAGUGAUGAAGACACAGUCACUGAUCUCAAGGAACUCGUAGCCUAGAGAUGAAGACAGACGCGUAAAUAAUAAUUACAAGGUGAGAAAACAGAAUGAUAAAGAAGGGAAGUCACAUUCCAAAGCUGCUCAAUUAGCUGUCACCUGAUGGCUGGCCAGAGUCAGUGCUGUGCUGGGCAGCUAGAACUCCAACAGAAAUCCAGCAGUCUUUCUGAGCUAAAGAACCAGAGACCAGUGUUUGGGGUAAGUACUACGAAGUGAGAGGGCAAGUCAGAAAAGAGAGAACCAGAGAGGGAAACCCCCAAAUUCUGUGUACAAAUUCUUCCUAAAUCUCUGGCUAUUCUCUGAGUUGUGCCUGCAGGAAACUGACUCAAAGCAGCUUGCCCAAAGGCAAAGUAUCUAAAGUCAAAUUAGAAUGGUUUUCCAAGACAAAAAAUUUGACUUUGAGCCCAACCAAUUUAACUGCCUCCUAAAACAAAAACAUCAAUACUUUUUGGAGGAAUAUAACAGAAACCAGAGUCUACACAACAUAACAUUUGCAAUGGCUGGG